AGGCAACUGAAAAUACCCGCUGCGUCCCAUUUGAUGUGCAGUUGUGAGAUUCCCUUUGAAUAUUGCAGCAGCUAGUUGACGGUUGCCAAGGGAACACAGUUUUCCCAGGCAGCUUUGCAAAAGCAUCCUUGCUCUCCUCUGCCCAGCCCCAAUUACACUGGCCUGGCUGGCCACACACCAGCCUCUGCUGUCCAAGUUAGAGAACCCUGUGAGCUUGGACUGGACUUGAACCAUCUGCUUCUGGAGUGGCCAUGGUUGUUUCACCAGCAUUUACUCACUUGUACACCAGAGUCAUCUGUGAGUAGGAUGUGGGUUUGUGCAUUAAUAAUGAUUACUU
rnacentral:lncRNA from 1 species